AUAAAUAAAAUCUUGACAUAGAACAUAACGCAUAGAAAUAGUUUUAUAUAUAUAAAAUCCUUGUAACUUAACUUACUUUCUUUACAGAGAGUUCCCUUUAUAUGACGACAGCUGACAGAUGUUGAUCCUUCACUUAGCUACGAACACAACGGAUUCACCUCAGAUAAAAGAAUUAGUAGUGAUUUCAUUUCGCGUAUAUUUCACUAUUCAUCUUCCGUUAUAACUUACGUGUUUUUCUGGACAAGUCCGAGUGAACUGCGAGUCACAUGAACGCGCGCCGUACAGACCAACGAACGGCCGAGCCCAUCAGAGGGACAUUUCCUUGGUUUGCUCACAUCAGGUCAGAGGAUGGAAUCUCCUGGAUCAAGGUUAAUAAUAAAAGGCAAGUCAUUGUUAAAUGUACAAAAUAUGUGUCUUACAGCAUCUUAAUGUUAAUACAAUCUUUUAUUUUGUAAAGGGACGUAAGAUGCUUUUUAAGCUAUUUAUUUAAGCUGCAGCAGUAAAUAGUAAAAGAGUCAUAGUCUCAUCUCCCGUCCUCAGGCCCCACCCCAGAAUGUUUUAGAUGUCUCACUAAUUAAAACACCUGGUUCAGCUGUAACAUGCUGGGAGGGGGGUCUGAGGACUGGAGCUGAGAAACUACACUAACGGUUAUGAAAAAUGAACGCUGUGCAGGCCCGGCUCCACGGGAAGCUUGGCCCACCCUGGCCCCACACAUAACAGCCAAUCAAAAAAUUGUUGUGAUAUUCAAUUGAGGUUCAUAUACUUUUUCUUUUUCGUUUUCUUACCGCCCACACCCGAAUACGUGCUAAUACUGUAUUUUCGCGCAUCAGGGAGCCGCUAUCAACAUGCGCGAAAUUGAAAUGCUUUUGAAUGAGCGCUCGCGCCUUUCACUUUCACUUUCGAUUUGGCGAUCACGCGUACCCCACUGAGCAAAGACACGUCCAAACAACGUCUUUUGUACUUCGUUUUUGAACGUCCAAUUUUGGUCCCCUGAAGGUGCAGACUGUGACGCCAGAUGACGUCUUUUUUCCAACGUCCAAUGAACGUCCAGUAUUGAUGUCCACAGGACCUCUGUAUAAGGGCUAAUUGUAGGCCAAAUGUGGUCUUUGUGGACGUCUUUUCUACAUCAAACUUAAACUCAUUUUAGACAUCAUGUACUCAAUAAAUAAAUAUUUAAAUAACAAAUAAUGUUUCAUCACAGGUAACCUAUAUUGAUAUUCAUUAACCAUGCUGAUAAGAACAAUGUUGAUAUGUGUCUUAAAUAAAAUAAAUAUUACAUUCAUUAAUAAUGUCAAUUUUCUGCACAUGUCUUCGACGUCCAAAAAAAGUUACCUAGUCCGACGUUCAAAUGUAGAACUGCAUAUUGACGUCCAAAUGGGGUCUUGGUUAGACGUCCAAAUAGCGGACCUAGUUUGCACGUCGUGUAGACGUGCAGAAUUGGUCUUGGACCGACGGACGCAAUAUAGACAUAAUCUGCACGUCCAUCAGACGUCUAAUGUUUAGUGGGACAGUGCUCUGUGUAAAGGGAGAACAUCUUACAAGAUCAGAUAUUUGUCAAUGAGCUAAGAAUCUGUUGAUGUAUGGUUUCGUCAGUCUCAGUGGUGUAGUGCAGGGUAUAUUCAGGUAUAAGGCUUAUCAGUCGGCUUUGCGUAGCCUAUACCUACUUCUAAAUACCCUCUGAUGCGCAUUCUGUGGUGUCUCGCAUUAGCCAAAAUAAUGACAGUCCACCACAUGAUUCGCUAAUCAAAUCGUCUGUGAAUAAAUGCAAAUAUUCCCUAAAAACACCCAGUAAAGACAGUGAUGCGGUCAGGACGCGCCGGCUUCCCUUUAAAUAUGAUUGAUGAUUGCGCCUGCGCCUGCUUUGUCCCCAGACAAGAUGGCAAAAUAAUAAUUAAUUAUUGAUUUCUAAUUUGAAUCAGUACAUUAUAAUAUGAAAAGAAAAAUCAAAAGGACCAGGUUUUUGCGAUCAGAUAUUUUUUAAACCGGUAAACUCCUGUAAACUUUUCAGUCCAAGG